AGAAUGAAGUAAAAAUUAGAAAGAACUCUAAAGACUUACUUCUUUGUGAAUACAGACAUUAGAUGUCACAAAUGUGAAGCUUUAUUUAAAACACAUCCAAAGACGUUACUUACAACACAUCACAAAUAUAAAUGAGAGACACAAAAGCAAUGCAAAACUGUCACUCAGAGAAAGUGCUUCCUGUGUUUAAGAAGGUCAUUUGGCUACCUGAUGAGAACAACUUCAUGAGAAGAAAUGCAUUUCAAGAAAACCUGUGACGCAACGACUGCUUCUGCGGAACAGCGCUCACCCCAAGCCUGUGGAUCUUCAACAUGUUCUAUGGUGGCCGCUGGUGGAGACUAAGUAGAGACAUACAAUUCGUAACUAAAUAUUCGUCUUUGGAGUCACACACAGUUUGUUUUCCUCCCAAAUAUCUGCAAAUGCAGCUCAGGGUUUGAAAGGAUAACACAUAAUUAGAAGCCUAUGAAAGUCUAUGAACCCGAUCCACAUUUGUAAAAACUGCAGGGAGUUUUAGGGAACUGAGUGACUUUGGAAUUGAAAGCAGAUACAGCAACACAGGAAAGCAGCUACGGACACCACAUUGACUGGUACCUUGGUUUUCUUGACUAUAUUUGUAUGGACUUGGCUCUGGAAAGCAGUUUAGCUGUGGUUCUUCAGUGCGAUGCAACUGGACUGCUCAGUGGUGUGGAGACCUUGUAAGAACUUUUAGAAACAGCAAAGGAAAACCGCGCCUUCAUUUCAUCAGACUGGCUCUUCAAUGUGCUCAUUGGUGGGACCGCAGUUUAACAACUACACAAGAAAUCCCGACUUAAGACAAACCAGCUGAACAAAAGUCCCAAACAAUUGCAUCACUAGCCGCAACAAAACCUUUCAGUAAUCUUUUACUUGAAAUUGAUGUAGUCACAAAAAAAAAGAGAGACAAGCUUCAAGCAGGCACCUUCUCUGAUCUGUCUGCCCCAGUGCUAGACAAGCUGAUGUGGUAAAUCUAUGUUAACAUAAUUGGAGACAAAGAUAUUCAGUUUUAAUCUUUUAAUGUGUUUUUUAGAGACACAUCAUACAAAUGCUUCAUAAACUAACACAAUUUGAAAAUUUAUGUUUUUACUGUUGAAGAAUGAUCAUCCACUACGUAUUUACCUGCGCAAAAAAAAAAAAAUGAAUAGUGAAGCUCCAACCCCAAGAAACUUGCCUUCUAAUGAGAGACAGCACAGGAAUACCGAGGAGAGAGAAAACUCAAUAACCACCUUCACAGAGAGCUGCAGAGAGCACCGCCAGGCACACAGAGCAGAGAGGACUUGGCUGUGGAGGUGGGGUAUUAGGAAAUGCUUCUUGUAUGAGGUGGCAUAUAAGUGUUCUUGAAGGAUGAAUCAGAUUUAAACAAAUGAAGGUAGAUUUAGUUGAGUAGAGGAUUACAAUGGUAAAUGGACUAAAUAAUAAAAAUGCAGAGUAUGAACCCACUGGAAGUAUGUGCUUGGAACACAUGUUUAUUAAUUUUCUUGCCAUCCACACAAAAACAAAAGUAGCAGAGCAGUUCUACAGAUGACCCAGACAGUUGAUUCACAAGAAAACCCAAUAUAAUAGGCCCAGACAAGUUUCUUAAAAUUUAGACAAUAAUAUUUGUGAUAUUUAAACUUUCGGCCUAUAAUAUAUGUUUGUGCAGUUUCUAUAAAAGCAGGAAUCAAGUGAUUAUCCUCGGAGCUCUAAAAGGCAACUUUUGACUUUAGAAGCUCUUCCCGACAGUUCUGCUGGCAAACAAGAUGCAAAACCAUGCUACUUUUUGUAAGGUGACAAAACUAUGAUGUCCUGUGGCCUUAAGCAAUGAUUAGUAAUUAGCCCACACUUAACUAAAGGAUAGUUCCUCGAAGCAGAGGCACUGAUGUGUGUGAUGCCAAGCUAUUGAAAUGUUGCAAGCGUGUUUGGAUUUCUCAGCGCUGCCUUUAGAACUAAGUUAUGACUUAUAGAAGAAGAAAACUUCCGUUUUUUCAGUCUCUUAGAUUUUGGUCUCAAAAUAUGUUUGGAAGCAAAAUGAAGCCCAGAGAUUUUCAACACAACGUUUGUUCUUAGCACUCCUAUGUGUACAUAAUCCACACGGGGCUGAGACAUUCUUUGUGACAUGGUCAACAGGAUCUCUAAGCAACUAGAAGCAUUGUCAGGGAAGGAAAGUGCCACGCUAGGCAGCGUACAUGCCUGCUGCACCUCUCAGUUCUCACCUUCUGAAUAUUAUAUGAUUUUAGUUAGUCUCUAACUUUUAACACAGGCAUUGGCUUGGGAUGCUUCUGCUAGAGUGGAUGAAUUUUUGGAAUGAAACUCACUUCCUAAGUUGUUCCUUUCUUUUUUUUUAAAGCUAUAUCUUGGUAAAUCUAUUUUCAUAUGUAUUUUGAAGACUUUUUAUGGAGUAGCUGGACCGGGCAAGCAAGAACAUCCAGAUGCCAUAAAGACAGAUAAACCGUAUAGUUUUAGCUGUAAAACCAGAGCUGUUGAUGACUACUGGUUUCUAUGUCUUGCCUGACUAGAGCCAGUGUUAAAGUUCGUUAGCUGGGGCUUAACAACACAAUGACUGAAGGAAUGGAGUUGCCACACAAGUGUUUAAAUUCCAUACCAGAUCCCUAGCUACAACGGAGAAGAAAGUUCAAACAACAAAACAGAAUUGCAAGGUCUGAACUUGCGUGCUACGGAUACUUCUAACUCAUCACCAGGCUGCUCUCGUUCGGGGCAACUGAGCUCUCUCCAGAAACACGGCUAAUUGAAUAAGGGUUUCGAAGCUUUUGGCUACAGAUAAACCAAAGUGGCACAUGGCUCAUAACUCAAACAUUUCAUUUUAGGCAGCUGCUAUUUUUCUUGCCAGGGCUAAUUUGGACUAUUCAAUCACUCUCUCUUCUUCAAUAAAAAACUGUUUGUAGUUA